rnacentral:lncRNA from 1 species
UCCGUCUUGAAUCCAAACAAAAGCCUUCUUACCUGGAGCAUCAAUGGAGAUAGGUUAUCAUCUAACCAACUAGAGGGCAAGACAACAUCUGAACUCUGCAAACAAGGUGGGAUCACCGACUCCGUCUGCGAAAUUGCUAAUGCCUUCGAAAAGACCUCAGUACUCUUUCUCAGGUUUUCUGUUGCAUCAGCAAGUUGCUUCUUGAGCCUCCCAUUUGAGGUUGUCUUCUUUUUAUUCAUCUUAUUUCGAACGUCUUUAAGAGUGAUGUUCGUUCUCGCGCAACCUACACCACUUUUUUCUGCAGUUAAAGACUGCUCAAAAGAUGGAGAUAUCGAGUUAAAGUCCGAAUUGUUUGAGACCAACUCCGGUAAACUUACAGACAAACCUUCAGGCCCCAAGUUUAGGUUAAUUCCUAUGGGCAAAAGGAAAUUAAAUCGAUAAAGAGAUUACUUCAUGAAUUUCAUUCGAGGCAAGCAAAAGAGGAUAUUUUUCAUAUAUGAAGAAAUUACUACACAAAAUAAUAGGGCAGCAGUUGUAUGACAUUGAAAUUGGCUAGGAGGAUAGAUACUUGUUUCAUAAAAUUCAUUGAGGCUAUCGUUUUCCAGCUCGGAGAUACUCAGGCGGCGAGAAAAGUAAAAAUUAAGAGAAAAGUUUGCGUAAAAGUAGAUUAUAAAAUAAAAUAUUCCUCAUUGGCUUACUACUUAUGACCUCACAUAAAGCAGCAACCAUGGUUUAGCUUAAUUGAUUGCUGUUGAUUACGUUGAGUGAGAUAUGUUGGAUGCUACGCAGCCUGUGACAAGAUCUAAAUAAUAAACAAUGGGCCUGUUGCAAACUUUUGCUAGAGCAAAAAUAAGAGUUGUUUCCUAUAGAUAAUGCCUCAAAAAUUACGAUGAGCGCAUCGGCAAAGUCUGAAAUGCACUCAUAACUUCACAAUCUGCGUAAGAAAUUUGCGUUUUUUUGAGCUUCCCGCUUCAAAAACGAUACUACGGCACAGGUGAACAUUUUGUUGGAGGAGUCGCUCCAUCGUCGGCAAUAUUCAUCAUGGCCGACGCUUGCGCAGUUCCGUGCGUAAUUCGAGGAGAGUUCAAGGUCAAUCAAGGCGGUCGAGGAAAAUAUGAACGUAAACACGCAGAUUGUUAUCUGGUCUAAUCCUGUUCAGGUGUUAUCUCGUCCCAUCACACGUGUUUUGGCGGAUUGUCGUCGGCCAUGAUGAGUAUUGCCGACGAUGGAACGACUCCUCUAAUAAAAUGUUCACCUGUGCCGUAGUAUCGUUUUUGACGCGGGAAGCUCAAAAACCGCAAAUUUCUUACGUAGAUUGUGAAGUUAUGAGUGCAUUUCAGACUUUACCGAUGCGCUCAUUGUGAUUUUUGAGGCAUCAUCUAUAAGAAACAACUCUUAGUUUUGCUCUAGCAAAAGUUUGCAACAGGCCCAUUUAAACAAAAGGUAAGGCAAGGUAGGCUUUUUUUCACAAAAACGACACCAAAACGUUUUGGCUGAAAA